AGCAGCCGCGGUAAUUCCAGCUCCAAUAGCGUAUAUUAAAGUUGUUGCAGUUAAAAAGCUCGUAGUUGAAUUUCGGGAUCAAUUUAUCGGUCGUGCCAACGGUAUGAACUGGUACAAUUGGUUUCUCCCUUCUGAUGAAGCACGAUGUCAUUAACUUGGUGUCGUGGGGAAUCAGGACUGUUACUUUGAAAAAAUUAGAGUGUUUAAAGCAGGCCUUGGCUUGAAUACAUUAGCAUGGAAUAAUGAAAUAGGACGUUUGAUCCUAUUUCGUUGGUUUCUAGGAUCGACGUAAUGAUUAAUAGGGAUAGUUGGGGGCAUUAGUAUUCAAUUGUCAGAGGUGAAAUUCUUGGAUUUAUUGAAGACUAACUACUGCGAAAGCAUUUGCCAAGGAUGUUUUCAUUAAUCAAAGAACGAAAGUUAGGGGAUCGAAGACGAUCAGAUACCGUCGUAGUCUUAACCAUAAACAUGCCGACUAGGAUCGGAUGAUGUUAAUUUUU
rnacentral:rRNA from 1 species